UACGAAGGGGUCUAGCGUUGCUCGGAAUUACUGGGCGUAAAGCGCACGUAGGCGGCUUUCUAAGUCGGGGGUGAAAUCCUGGAGCUCAACUCCAGAACUGCCUUCGAUACUGGAAAGCUCGAGUCCGGGAGAGGUGAGUGGAACUGCGAGUGUAGAGGUGAAAUUCGUAGAUAUUCGCAAGAACACCAGUGGCGAAGGCGGCGACCUGGGUAGAUACUGACGCUGAGGCGCGAAAGCGUGGGUAGCAAACGGG
rnacentral:rRNA from 1 species